rnacentral:rRNA from 1 species
UACGGAGGGUGCAAGCGUUAAUCGGAAUUACUGGGCGUAAAGGGUGCGUAGGUGGUCUGAUAAGUUAUCUGUGAAAUCCCUGGGCUCAACCUGGGCAGGUCAGAUAAUACUGUUAGACUCGAGUAUGGGAGAGGGUAGUGGAAUUUCCGGUGUAGCGGUGAAAUGCGUAGAGAUCGGAAGGAACACCAGUGGCGAAGGCGGCUACCUGGCCUAAUACUGACACUGAGGCACGAAAGCGUGGGGAGCAAACAGGAUUAGAUACCCUGGUAGUCCACGCUGUAAACGAUGUCAACUAGCUGUUGGAUAUAUGAAUAUAUUUAGUGGCGCAGCAAACGCGAUAAGUUGACCGCCUGGGGAGUACGGUCGCAAGAUUAAA